rnacentral:rRNA from 1 species
GACGAACGCUGGCGGCGUGCUUAACACAUGCAAGUCGAACGGGAUCCAAAGGCUUUUUGUUUUUGGUGAGAGUGGCGAACGGGUGAGUAACACGUGAGUAACCUGCCCCCUUCUUUUGGAUAACCGCAUGAAAGUGUGGCUAAUACAGGAUAUUCCAGGCUGGUCGCAUGAUUGGUUUGGGAAAUGGUUUGGUCUGGUGGGGGAUGGGCUCGCGGCCUAUCAGCUUGUUGGUGGGGUGAUGGCCUACCAAGGCGGUGACGGGUAGCCGGCCUGGGAGGGUCGGCGGUCACACUGGGGCUGAGAUACGGCCCAGACUCCUACGGGAGGCAGCAGUGGGGGAUUAUGCACAAUGGGCGCAAGCCUGAUGCAGCGACGCCGCGUGAGGGAUGAAGGCCUUCGGGUUGUAAACCUCUUUCGCUGGGUUGAAAGGCCAUGCGUGGGGUGUGGUUGAUUUGAACUGGUAAAGAAGUACCGGCUAACUACGUG